ensembl:lncRNA
AAAGAAUAGGUUGUAAGACUAGAAAUAUGCUUUUCUCUGUCCUUUUUUUUUUUAAGCAUUAUAGAUUGAGGGGACACCAAUAAGCAUUGCCUGUCACUUGCACCUGGAGUGGAUUACAGUUCUUCUCAUGCAGUUGUGUGUCUGGAAUGGAAACCCUGACAUCUAAGGCAGGACAUUUCAGAAGAACUGGGAUGGCUCUUGGCAUCAUUGGGAGAACCUGAAAGGGAAUACUAAGGGGACAGAGCUACAGAAUUUCCCAUCUGAGGAACUUGUACUUGUGGGGAAGUUGAUCAGAAACACCAGAGUCUGAAUUCUUCAGGCAGCUGAAUCUUGGUUCAAAGUAAGUUAAAAAGAAUUACAUAGAAGAGAAAUUCAACUCUGAAAUUCAAAACAUAUGUCAUUGAAUACCCUGAUGUAAACUUAGGAAAACAAAUGAAAGGACAGACUUUUUUCUAGUUAUUUGUUGACAUUCAGUCAUUCAGUCAUUCAUUUAUUUCUGGGGAGCUUCAGGCAGCUGAGGAGAUUUGUACACUGUCUUGGGUGAACAGACUACAACCAGGAACCAAGAAGCAUGUGGGGAACAUGUUGCAGGUUCAGCUUCAGAACACAUUGAGUCAUUUCAACAAAAACUGUGAUAAUUAAAGAGGAAAAAUUACAUUUAGCCCAGAUAUAAAAUGGGGAUAAGACUGAGCUCUUUUGGAAGUCAAUGCCAGAGAACACUCAGGUAAGAUAUCUGCCUACCAGGGAGGAAAAUAAACAAAGGGUGGCUGUCUGCUCCUAUGUGUGCAAAUACAGGUGUGACUCAUAAAUCAACAUCAGUUGUCACUGUAAAAGGAAAGGUGCCCAAAAGUGUGAAAGAAGACACAAGUACAUCAUCCGUGAUAUAUAAACCUGGUAAAGACGUUUGGUUCACAAGAGAAUUGUUUAGAAUGGUUCUUUCAAAAUUUUGCUCAGCAUUUCCAACUUAAUGAUCUAGGAUUUCAUGAGGAAGAUAGGGCAUUGGUACUUCUGGACAACUCUCCAGUUCACCCUUCUGCGGAACCAUCAGCCAGUGAGGAUGGUAGAAUAAGAUACACGUUCUCUCCCCCUAAUACUUCUACUUUGAGUCAACCAGUGAAUCAAGCUGUAACCUUGAGCUGCAAAGAACUUUAGAGAUGGAAACAACUUGAAGAGAGUCUUAGAAACUUUGGAGAAAGUGAGGAUGAACAGGAAAAAGAAAGAGAAGGGAAUUUCCAAGAUUAAGAUGUAGAAUGUGAAAAGUGCACUUUUUAACUGGGAUGAAGUAAAACAAUUAACAGUAGCAGACGCAUGGGAAAUCUCCUUUACAAAGAAGAAACUGUGUGACCUUCAAGGGCAAGAGCGUGGGAGCUAGAGGGAUCCUUGAGAAAGGUGCAGAAACCAAGCUGGGCAUGGAGGAUAUGGUUAAAUGAAGAUGAUGAAGAGAAAGGUUGUUUCUCCCCGCCUCUCUCCACCCUUCACCCCUGAAAACCCAAAAGGUGAGACAGUAAAGGAAGCUGUGCAAAGGACGGAGCUGGAAAUUGGACAGGAAUUUAAGUUCCACACUGGACUACAUUCUUAACUUUCCUGAUGCCAUACCUGAAUUUUAAAUACUUCAUUUCACACUAAGAGAUGCAACAAAAAUAUAGCCAAGAAAGAACUGGAGAGUAAAAUCCUUUUAAGAAUUGGUAGGUUUUUGAAAACUAGACUUCCUAAUAUUAAGGAUACUGUCAAUAUGCCUUCAACUUCUGGUUCUAGUAAUCAGACUAUGUAAAGGUAAUUGGAAUAUAUGAUACUGUUGAUACCGUUUUUAAUCAAACAUUAUUUUCAUAUCAAUGCUCACUUAUGCAUUGGCUAGAAUAUAGUUUGAAAAUAAAUGUGAAUUCCCAUAAAUGUAUGAAUAUCAUUUUCUAUUUACAAAUCAAGGAUAUGAAUAAUGAAUUAUCAUCCUAAAUUAUAUAAAUUGUAAUGGCUAUGCUAAAAACAUAGGUUUAAAUUCUACCAUGUAAUUUUGGCUAAUACACAUUAGUACUAUGCACCAAGCAAGACCUUUGUUUCAUUCUCCAGAAUUAAAAAAUAGUAACGUACGUCACAUAAAGGAGGAAGGGGCUCCUCCUAAGCCCCUAGAAGGAACUCAUAAUGAGCUAAGCUGGCCACGAACAGAUUUAUGACUGCCUACAUGGUCUUAUUACCCAUAGGGAAGUACAACCAAAGAGAAUUAAAAUAUUACAAGACGGGAGCUAGACAGUUGGCUCAGUGGUUAAGAACACUGGCUGGGGCUGGAGAGAUGGCUCAGCGGUUAAGAGCACUGACUGCUUUUCCAGAGGUCCUGAGUUCAAUUCCCAGCAACCACAUGGUGGUUCACAACCAUCUGUAAUGAGGUCUGAUGCCCUCUUCUGGUGCGUCUGAAGAUAGCGUACAGUGUACUCAUAUACAUAUAAUAAAUAAAUAUUAAAGAACAUUGGCUGUUCUCCAGGUGAUCCACGUUCAAUUUCUAGUCCCUAUAUGGUAGUCCGUUCUAGCCCAGGGGAUCUCAGCUCCCCCUGCACCAUGCCUGCCUGAAUGCUGCCAUGUUUCUGCCUUGAUGACAAUGGACUGAACCUCUGAACCUGUAAGCCAGCCAAGAAUUAAAUGUUGUCUUUAUAAGAGUUGCCUUGGUUAUGGUGUCUCUUCACAGCAGUAAAACCCUAAGACAGAAGUUGCUACCAGGGACUGGGGUGUUGCUGCGAUAGACCUGACCAUGCUUUUGUUUGGAAGAAUGUUGAUUUGGGGGGGACUUUGGAUUUAGAAAGCCAUAGAAUGUUUUAAGUGGAGCUUAAUGAGCCAUCCUAGUAGGAAUAUGGAAGGCUUUGUUGUUGUGAGUUAUUUCAAUUGUGCAGACCUGGCCCAAGAGGUUUCAGUGGAGAACAACUUCAGUAUGUGGCCUAGAGACUAUUUUUGUAGUAUUUUAGUGACGAACAUGGCUACUUUUGGCCCUAGUCUGAGGAGUCUGCCUGAGGCUAAGGAGAAGAGACUCAGAUAAAUUGCACUGACAAAGGAAGUCUCAAAAAAGCCCAGCAGAGACUUUGUUCUCUGGUUACGUCUGAUAAAGAGCAUUUUGAACAAGCAUAGCAAGCUUAGAAAGGAAAAAUAUAUAAGGUAGAGUUUGAGUAUUAAAGGGGCACCAGGAAGUGAAAUAGAACUGAAUCCUGUGUUCAAGGGUAUUAAAUUGAAUUAACGGAGUGGUGACCUUGGGGCAAGAUCCUACCCAGCUAAAUUUAGAUCCAGGCUUGGUGCUACAUACUUUUAAUCCCAGGAGAUAAAGCCAAGCAGAUCUCUAAGUUCAAGGCCCAUCUGAGACAGACGGAGUUAUAGGUGAAGAAAAGCUUAAAUUCAGGCACAGUGGUACACACUUUGAUCCCAGUAGCCAAGCAUGCAGAUCUCUGAGUUCACGGUCAGUCUACAGAGCAAGAUCCAGGACAGCCAAGCUUAGGCAGUGAAGGAGUUGGAAAAGAGGAAGCUAGUGACUGAACAAGGGGGCCAUGUUCCAGCUCCAGCAAGCAGCAGAACACAGCAGUUUCAGCCAUGUGGCUCUGGCUUUAGAGCCAAGAAUAGAAGGGACUACAGGGACAGUUAAUGCUGGUUAACUGGAGCUAAGAAAUUAGUGGUGAUUAAGAAGAGAGCAGCAUCACUGUGAUGAAAUUUUCUGGGAAGUUAUUUUCUGAGAACACAAAGAAGCUGUGUUCCAGAGAUAGCCAAGGUUGUACCUCGUGCUGCAGCUGUACUUGGUAAUGUGUAAGAAUCACCCAGGUGGUACUGGGUUUGAAGGCAUGAAGUGGUCAUGAAGAGCAGAAGGCUUGGUACUGAGAGGCCAUGAAAGGCCGUCGGUGAAAGAAAGUGCAGCCUCAGUUGUAGUUGAUGGCCCAGGACUGAAGGGGUCAUGCAAAGGAGUUGAGGCUUGACACCAGGAAGAGAGCCUGAGAGAGGCUUUUGGUGAAGUAAGUCGAGUGUAUUAUAGAUGCCAGUACCGUGGGAUGAUCACCAAGAGCAGCAGUGGUAGUGGACUGGAUCAACCUGAGCUUAGAGGGCAGGGCUGCAGAGGUGACUCAGCUCUUUGGAGCCCUUUGGAGCCGCCCAGACCAUGUAUAGAUCCCCGACACUGAAACAAGAAGCUUUAAUAUUGAAGUUGCCUUGGAGAGCCCAAGAUGCUAAAGAUGCCCAAGUCGUAAGAUACCUGCAGAGGAGAGCUGCUGACAGGGAGUGGAACCAGCCCAGGGCAGAGAAGUUUGUUGCAGUCAACAAAGAUGAGAAAGGAGCUGGAGAUCUGAAGACGGCUGUGACGUCAGACAUGGAGACGCAGGGUUUGGAGUUUGCCCAGCUGGAUUCCUGUCUUGCUUUGGGGAUUGCAGUUAAAUGAUUGGAUGGAUCUCAGAAGAGAUCUUAAACUUUGGACUUUUAACAUUGUUGAGAGUGCUAUAGACUAUGGAAGUUGGACUAAAUGUAUUUUGUAUUAGACUGUGUUUAGGUAUGGCCCCCAUAGAUUCAUGUAUUUGAACAAGUCUAUAGAGGCCAGGGAGUAGAAUAUGAUGGUUUGUAUAUGCUUGGCCCAGGGUGUGACACUAUUAGGAGAUGUGGCCUUGUUGGAAUAGGUGUGUCAUUGUGGGUGUGAGCUUUAAUAAGCCUUGUCCUAGCUGCCUGGAAGCUGGUAUCUGCUAGCAGCCUUCAGAUGAACAAGUAGACCUCUCAGCUCCUCUUGUACCAUGCCUGCCUGGAUGCUGCCAUGCUCCUGCCUUGAUGAUAAUGGACUGAACCUCUGAACCUGUAAGGCAGCCUCAAUUAAAUGCUGUCCUUAUAAAA